UACAGAGGGUGCUAGCGUUGUUCGGAAUCAUUGGGCGUAAAGCGCGUGUAGGCUGCUCGGAAAGUCGGAUGUGAAAGCCCUGGGCUCAACCUAGGAAGUGCAUUCGAAACUUCCGAGCUGGAGUGCUGGAGAGGAAGGCGGAAUUCUCGGUGUAGAGGUGAAAUUCGUAGAUAUCGAGAGGAACACCGGUGGCGAAGGCGGCCUUCUGGACAGCGACUGACGCUGAGACGCGAAAGCGUGGGGAGCAAACAGG
rnacentral:rRNA from 1 species